rnacentral:misc_RNA from 1 species
UUUCUAAGGAUGAUCAAGAAUAGGGCUUUUAAAAAUCCCUCCCUUUUUGAUCUCAUUAGACACAAGGUUUAAACAUGAGUUUGUUUAAAAACAUGAGUUUGUUUAAACUGUGCAUAUGAGGCUAACUCUCAAUAAAUUCCUCUCAGCAAAAAGAGACCCCUCUUUAAUAAAAUAAAGAGGAUACCCCCCCCCUGUCUCUUUGAGGCCCCUACCUCGGAUGAGAGAACUAUUUGAGGGCUUAGUGCUCAUGUGUUGAUACAAUAAAUGCAGAACAUGCCGUCUUCGUUUCUCUUUCUUCAGAUGAUGAUCCCAAGCCUUCUGGCGAUCUCUUAAAACAAAGCCUAGCCUAUUUAAAAAAAUAGGGCAUUUAGAUACUCUUUAAAUUCUUAUGAAUCUUAAAGGUCAUGAAUUUUAAAAAGGCUUUAUGAAGAAAGCACUUUAAGCUUUUCCAAUAAUUUAAGAUGAUACCGGGGAAGGUUUUCCGGUUUAUCCCGGAGGGCUUGUAGCUCAGUUGGUUAGAGCGCGCGCUUGAUAAGCGUGAGGUCGGAGGUUCAAGUCCUCCCAGGCCCACCAUUUAUGCUCGUUUUUUCUUAUUCUUGAGAGUUAUGGAUCUUAAGCCUAUGAAAGCCUCUUUAAUCUUUAGUUUGUUGCAAAAGAUUUUAUUUUAUCCUUCAAAAAUUGUUUGUUGAAUUUAUCUCAUUACGUUUGUCAAACAGGACUUCAAGUUCCCUUCAAGGGGAUGGAUAAAUUUAAAGGAUAAGAAUCAAAAAAUGAUGCAAAUUAAUACAAGUCAAUACGAGUCAAAAUGGUAUCUCUCAAAAGAGGUUAACUCAUUCAAGUUAAUGAAUUUUCUUGAGGUUGAUUUGAGAGGCAUUCUUUAGGGGCCGUAGCUCAGCUGGGAGAGCACCUGCUUUGCAAGCAGGGGGUCGUCGGUUCGAUCCCGUCCGGCU